rnacentral:rRNA from 1 species
UACGUAGGGUGCGAGCGUUGUCCGGAAUUAUUGGGCGUAAAGAGCUCGUAGGCGGCUUGUCGCGUCGUCCGUGAAAACCUGCAGCUUAACUGUGGGCUUGCGGUCGAUACGGGCAUCACUGGAGUUCGGCAGGGGAGACUGGAAUUCCUGGUGUAGCGGUGAAAUGCGCAGAUAUCAGGAGGAACACCGAUGGCGAAGGCAGGUCUCUGGGCAUUAACUGACGCUGAGGAGCGAAAGCAUGGGGAGCGAACAGG